AGGGUUUGAUUAUGGCUCAGGAUGAACGCUGGCGGCGUGCUUAACACAUGCAAGUCGAGCGGAGAUAUUUAGAAAGCUUGCUUUUUGAAUAUCUUAGCGGCGGACGGGUGAGUAACGUGUGGGCAACCUGCCUCAUACAGAGGGAUAAUCAUGUGAAAACGUGACUAAUACCGCAUGUCAUUACCGGAGGGCAUCCUCCGGUAAGAAAAGGAGCAAUCCGGUAUGAGAUGGGCCCGCAUCUGAUUAGCUAGUUGGUGAGAUAACAGCCCACCAAGGCGACGAUCAGUAGCCGACCUGAGAGGGUGAUCGGCCACAUUGGGACUGAGACACGGCCCAA
rnacentral:rRNA from 1 species